GACAGAGGGUGCAAACGUUGUUCGGAAUUACUGGGCAUAAAGCGCACGUAGGUGGUCCGCUAAGUCGCGUGUGAAAUCCCCCGGCUCAACCGGGGAAAUGCGCGUGAUACUGGCGGGCUUGAGAUCGGGAGGGGUGAAUGGAACUCCAGGUGGAGCGGUGAAAUGCGUAGAUAUCUGGAGGAACACCGGAGGCGAAAGCGGGUCUCUGGGCAACAACUGACGCUGAGGAGCGAAAGCGUGGGGAGCGAACAGG
rnacentral:rRNA from 1 species